AUAAACGCUGGCGGCGUGCCUAACACAUGCAAGUCGAGCGAGAAAGCUCCUUCGGGAGCAAGUACAGCGGCGAACGGGUGAGUAACACGUGGGAAUCUACCCUUUAGUGAAGAAUACCCUCGAGAAAUCGAGGUUAAUACUGCAUACGUCCCUUCGGGGAGAAAGGUGGCCUCUUUGCUGCCGCUAAAGGAUGAGCCUGCGUACUAUUAGCUAGUUGGUGGGGUAAUGGCCUACCAAGGCGAUGAUGGUUAACCGGCCUUAGAGGGUGUUCGGUCACACUGGAACUUAGACACGGUCCAGACUCCUACGGGAGGCAGCAGUGAGGAAUCUUGCGCAAUGGGCGAAAGCCUGGCGCAGCGACGCCGCGUGAAGGAUGAAGGUCUUCGGAUUGUAAACUUCUGUUAAGUGGGAAGAAAUGCCUGUUUCUAAUACAGACAGGCGAUGACGGUACCACUAGAGAAAGCACCGGCU
rnacentral:rRNA from 1 species